rnacentral:rRNA from 1 species
UACGUAGGGCGCAAGCGUUGUCCGGAAUUAUUGGGCGUAAAGAGCUCGUAGGCGGUUUGUCGCGUCUGCUGUGAAAACCUAAGGCUUAACCCUGGGCCUGCAGUGGGUACGGGCAGACUAGAGUGCGGUAGGGGAGACUGGAAUUCCUGGUGUAGCGGUGAAAUGCGCAGAUAUCAGGAGGAACACCGGUGGCGAAGGCGGGUCUCUGGGCCGUAACUGACGCUGAGGAGCGAAAGCGUGGGGAGCGAACAGG